rnacentral:rRNA from 16 species
CUGGCGGCCGUAGCGCGGUGGUCCCACCUGACCCCAUGCCGAACUCAGAAGUGAAACGCCGUAGCGCCGAUGGUAGUGUGGGGUCUCCCCAUGCGAGAGUAGGGAACUGCCAGGC